AUAUGCCUGGCUCCCUGUAUGCCACUCGCGUAGCUGCCAAACUCAGUUGAAACACUGCCUUCUCCCGGCGAGAUUCAGGCAUUGUGUUCGUACGUUUGGCUCUACCGCGGAUGGCGUGCGAGGAGCCAAGCAUGA
rnacentral:pre_miRNA from 1 species